rnacentral:lncRNA from 1 species
UUUCUUUUUCUUUAUUUUGUUUUAAUAUUUAUUUAUUUAUUUGAAAGAGUUACACAGAGAGGAGAGGCAGAGAGAGGGAGAGAGAGAGAGGGAGGGAGGUCGGGAGGUCUUCCCUUAGCUAGUUCACUCCCCAACUGGCCACAACGGCCGGAGCUGCGCCAAUCCAAAGCCAGGAGCCAGAAACCAGGAGCUUCUUCCGGGUCUCCCACGUGGGUGCAAGGGCCCAAGGAAUUGGGCCAUCUUCUACUGCUUUCCCAGGCCUUAGUAGAGAGCUGGAUUGGAAGUGGAGCAGCCAGGUCUCGAAUCAGUGCCCAUACAGGAUGCCGGUGCUUCAGUCCGGUGUUAACCCGCUGCGCCCCAGCGCCGGCCCCCCUUAGAUCUCUUUUUCUUGGGAGGUGCCACGUGCACUGUGUUGUGUGCUGCAGUUCACUUUUCGCUGCUGUGCGGCAUUUCCCCACACACGCACCCCCAUGCGUUCAUCCAUUUGCCUACAGAUGGGCUCUUGGGUUGCUUCCAGCUUCUGGUUAUUAUUAUUUUUUAAAGAUUUAUUAUUUAUUUGAAAGUCAGAGUUACACAGAGGGAGGAGAGGCAGAGAGAGAGAGCGAGUGGGCGGGUGGGUGGGGGGGUCUUCUAUCCACUGGUUCACUCCUCAAUUGGCCUCAAUGGCCAGAGCUGCACCAACUGGAGCCAGGAGCCAGGAGCCUCUUCUGGGUUUCCCACGCGAGUGCAGGGGCCCAAGGACUUGGGCCAUCUUCUACUGCUUUCCCAAGCCAUAGCAGGGAGCUGGAUCGCAAGAGGAGCAGCCGGGACUCGAACCAGUGCCAAUAUGGGAUGCCAGUGCUGCAGGCGCCAGUCCCCAGCUUCUGCAGCACACUGUGUUUUCACAGAACUUUUGAAGAGGCAAAGAAGGGGAGGCUCACAUUGCUCCACCCAGUGUCUGACAGGGAGCUCCUGUCGCUCCCCCAUUUGCGGAGGAACGACACAGAACCCUGCACUGUUCUUUUGUCUGCUCGGCCCUCCCCGGGUUUGCUGCUGGUCCUUCCCGGGUUGGCUGCCGACCCCUCCACCUCCGUGGAGGGGCGGCUCCCCCUGCCACUUUCCCCACUUCCGCGGGGGAUCUGCACACCACUGGCCGGGCCGGCUCUCUCGGGGGCUGCACAGGUGUUCCUCAGGUGUUCCUGGUGCAUGUUGUCUCUCUCCUCCUUUAUAGUCCUCUUCCACCAAUCCCAACUCUGCUACCCACACGCCGAGUACGCUGCUCUCCUCCAAUCAGGAGCAAGAUCAGCUCCUGCAGCUCAUCAGUCAAAUUGGUGA